rnacentral:rRNA from 1 species
UGCCAGCCGCCGCGGUAAUACGGAGGUUGCAAGCGUUGUUCGGAAUUACUGGGCGUAAAGGGGGCGCAGGCGGUUCGAUUAGUCUGGAGUGAAAGCCCGGGGCUCAACCCCGGAAGGCCUUUGGAUACUGUCGAACUAGAGUACGGGAGAGGAGAGCGGAAUUCCUGGUGUAGCGGUGAAAUGCGUAGAUAUCAGGAGGAACACCUAUGGCGAAAGCGGCUAACUGGCUCGGUACUGACGCUGAGAUGCGAAAGCGUGGGGAGCAAACAGGAUUAGAUA